rnacentral:rRNA from 1 species
UACGGAGGGUGCGAGCGUUGUCCGGAAUCACUGGGCGUAAAGGGCGCGUAGGCGGCGCGGAAAGUCAACGGUGAAAGCUCGGGGCUCAACCCCGAGUCGGCCGUCGAUACUUCUGUGCUCGAGCACUGUAGAGGCAGGUGGAAUUUCCGGUGUAGCGGUGAAAUGCGUAGAUAUCGGAAGGAACACCUGUGGCGAAAGCGGCUCACUGGACCAUUACUGACGCUGAUGCACGAAAGCUAGGGGAGCAAACAGG